CUCGUAGGCGGUUCAGUAAGUCGGGUGUGAAAACUCUGGGCUCAACCCAGAGACGCCACCCGAUACUGCUGUGACUUGAGUACGGUAGGGGAGCGGGGAAUUCCUGGUGUAGCGGUGAAAUGCGCAGAUAUCAGGAGGAACACCAGUGGCGAAGGCGCCGCUCUGGGCCGAAACUGACGCUGAGGAGCGAAAGCAUGGGUAGCAAACAGGAUUAGAUACCCUGGUAGUCC
rnacentral:rRNA from 1 species